CUACGGGAGGCUGCAGGGAAUAUUGCACAAUGGGCGCAAGCCUGAUGCAGCCAUGCCGCGUGUAUGAAGAAGGCCUUCGGGUUGUAAAGUACUUUCAGCGGGGAGGAAGGGAGUAAAGUUAAUACCUUUGCCCAUUGACGUUACCCGCAGAAGAAGCACCGACUAACUCCGUGCCAGCAGCCGCGGUAGUACGGAGGGUGCAAGCGUUAAUCGGAAUUACUGGGCGUAAAGCGCACGCAGGCGGUUUGUUAAGUCAGAUGUGAAAUCCCCGGGCUCAACCUGGGAACUGCAUCUGAUACUGGCAAGCUUGAGUCUCGUAGAGGGGGGUAGAAUUCCAGGUGUAGCGGUGAAAUGCGUAGAGAUCUGGAGGAAUACCGGUGGCGAAGGCGGCCCCCUGGACGAAGACUGACGCUCAGGUGCGAAAGCGUGGGGAGCAAACAGGAUUAGAUACCCCCGUAGUC
rnacentral:rRNA from 1 species